rnacentral:rRNA from 2 species
GUACCCGCUGAACUUAAGCAUAUCAAUAAGCGGAGGAAAAGAAACCAACAGGGAUUGCCUCAGUAACGGCGAGUGAAGCGGCAAGAGCUCAAAUUUGAAAUCUGGUCCCCUCGGGGCCCGAGUUGUAAUUUGGAGAGGAUACUUUGGGCGUGGUCGCGGCGUAAGUCCCUUGGAACAGGGCGUCACAGAGGGUGAGAAUCCCGUCUUGCGCUGCGUCCCGCGCCCGUGUAAAGUUCCUUCGACGAGUCGAGUUGUUUGGGAAUGCAGCUCUAAGUGGGUGGUAAAUUUCAUCUAAAGCUAAAUAUUGGCCGGAGACCGAUAGCGCACAAGUAGAGUGAUCGAAAGGUUAAAAGCACCUUGAAAAGGGAGUUAAAUAGCACGUGAAAUUGUUGAAAGGGAAGCGCUUGCAACCAGACUCGGUUCCGGGGGCUCAGCGGGCAUGCGUGCCCGUGUACUCCCCCGUCUCCGGGCCAGCAUCAGUUCGAGCGGCCGGUCAAAGGCCCCGGGAACGUAUCAUCCUCCGGGAUGCCUUAUAGCCCGGGGUGCAAUGCGGCCAGCUCGGACUGAGGAACGCGCCUCGGCACGGAUGCUGGCAUAAUGGUUGUAAGCGGCCCGUCUUGAAACACGGACCAAGGAGUCUAACAUCCACGCGAGUGUUCGGGUGUCAAACCCGUGCGCGCAGUGAAAGCGAACGGAGGUGGGAGCCCGCGAGGGUGCACCAUCGACCGAUCCUGAAGUCUUCGGAUGGAUUUGAGUAAGAGCGUGGCUGUUGGGACCCGAAAGAUGGUGAACUAUGCCUGAAUAGGGUGAAGCCAGAGGAAACUCUGGUGGAGGCUCGCAGCGGUUCUGACGUGCAAAUCGAUCGUCAAAUUUGGGUAUAGGGGCGAAAGACUAAUCGAACCAUCUGGUAGCUGGUUCCUGCCGAAGUUUCCCUCAGGAUAGCAGUAACGUUUUCAGUUUUAUGAGGUAAAGCGAAUGAUUAGAGGCCUUGGGGUUGAAACAACCUUAACCUAUUCUCAAACUUUAAAUAUGUAAGAAGCCCUUGUUGCUUAAGUGAACGUGGGCAUUAGAAUGGAUCGUUACUAGUGGGCCAUUUUUGGUAAGCAGAACUGGCGAUGCGGGAUGAACCGAACGCGAGGUUAAGGUGCCGGAAUGCACGCUCAUCAGACACCACAAAAGGUGUUAGUUCAUCUAGACAGCCCGACGGUGGCCAUGGAAGUCGGAAUCCGCUAAGGAGUGUGUAACAACUCACGGGCCGAAUGAACUAGCCCUGAAAAUGGAUGGCGCUCAAGCGUGCUACCCAUACCUCGCCGUCGGGGUAGAAACGACGCCCCGACGAGUA